CAGUAGCCGCGGGAAUACGGAGGGUGCAAGCGUUAAUCGGAAUUACUGGGCGUAAAGCGCACGCAGGCGGUUUGUUAAGUCAGAUGUGAAAUCCCCGAGCUUAACUUGGGAACUGCAUUUGAAACUGGCAAGCUAGAGUCUUGUAGAGGGGGGUAGAAUUCCAGGUGUAGCGGUGAAAUGCGUAGAGAUCUGGAGGAAUACCGGUGGCGAAGGCGGCCCCCUGGACAAAGACUGACGCUCAGGUGCGAAAGCGUGGGGAGCAAACAGGAUUAGAUACCCCCGUAGUCACUGUCUCUUAUAC
rnacentral:rRNA from 1 species